rnacentral:rRNA from 1 species
CACGUAGGGACCAAGCGUUGUCCGGAUUCAUUGGGCGUAAAGAGCUCGUAGGCGGUUCGAUAAGUCGGGUGUGAAACCUCCAGGCUCAACCUGGAGACGCCACCCGAUACUGUCGUGACUAGAGUCCAGUAGGGGAGCGUGGAAUUCCCGGUGUAGCAGUGAAAUGCGUAGAUAUCGGGAGGAAUACCGAUGGCGAAGGCAGGUCUCUGGGCUAUAACUGACGUUCAUGCACGAAAGCGUGGGGAGCAAACAGG